GACGAACGCUGGCGGCGUGCUUAACACAUGCAAGUCGAACGGAAAGGCCCUGCUUUUGUGGGGUGCUCGCGUGGCGCACGGGUGAGUAACACGUGAGUAACCUGCCCUUGACUUUGGGAUAACUUCAGGAAACUGGGGCUAAUACCUGAUAGGUGCUCCUGCUGCAUGGUGGGGGUUGGAAAGUUUCGGCGGUUGGGGAAGGACUCGCGGCUUAUCAGCUUGUUGGUGGGGUGGUGGCUUACCAAGGCUUUGACGGGUAGCCGGCCUGAGAGGGUGAACGGCCACAUUGGGACUGAGAUACGGCGCAGACUCCUACGGGAGGCAGCAGUGGGGAAUAUUGCACAAUGGGCGGAAGCCUGAGGAAGCAACGCCGCGUGCGGGAUGACGGCCUUCGGGUUGUAAACCGCUUUCGGCUGUGACGAAGCGUGAGUGACGGUAAUGGGUAAAGAAGCACCGGCUAACUACGUG
rnacentral:rRNA from 1 species